rnacentral:lncRNA from 1 species
GGCCUGCGGCCGGGGUCAGCGGAGGUCGCUGCCUUGUCGGCUCUGCGGGGCUUGUGCUCACUCUUCUCCGUCUUCGGGGCUCUUGGACCACCGCCGGGCAGCAGGCGACUGCGAUGGAAGCCGCGGGGUCCUCGACGACGCGGCUGCGACUCCAUUCAACAGAUUCAACAACAACUAGAAGAUCUGAGUCUAAAAUUAAAAGAAUUAUCAUCUCCUGUUCAAACUUUUCCAGUACAGGUAAGUACUUCUUUAACUCCUUCUGCUCCUCCUUUACCAGAAAUUUCCGCUCCUGCAAAUGGUCAAACCAGCCUUCGAGUGUCUGCGAUCUCCCCAGAGAUGUCAAAAUUUUUACUUGAUGAUGAUAAUACGGAAAAUUCUAGUGCUCUCCAAACUAACGAUUUGUUAACUUUUCCUAUUAUCUGACAGCUUAUGCCUGGGAAUGCUCAGUAUCCACAAGGAUAUUAUCAAGGACAACAUGAAGUGGUUCCUUUUUCCUUGUUAAAAAUCAUUAAACAUGCUGCUAGUAUUUAUGGUGUUUAUUCUCCCUAUAUGGUAGGAAUUGUUCAGGCU